CAAGUCGAACGGCAGCACGGGGGCAACCCUGGUGGCGAGUGGCGAACGGGUGAGUAAUACAUCGGAACGUGUCCUGUAGUGGGGGAUAGCCCGGCGAAAGCCGGAUUAAUACCGCAUACGCUCUACGGAGGAAAGGGGGGGAUCUUAGGACCUCCCGCUACAGGGGCGGCCGAUGGCAGAUUAGCUAGUUGGUGGGGUAAAGGCCUACCAAGGCGACGAUCUGUAGCUGGUCUGAGAGGACGACCAGCCACACUGGGACUGAGACACGGCCCAGACUCCUACGGGAGGCAGCAGUGGGGAAUUUUGGACAAUGGGCGAAAGCCUGAUCCAGCAAUGCCGCGUGUGUGAAGAAGGCCUUCGGGUUGUAAAGCACUUUUGUCCGGAAAGAAAACCUCUGCCCUAAUAUGGUGGGGGGAUGACGGUACCGGAAGAAUAAGCACCGGCUAACUACGUGCCAGCAGCCGCGGU
rnacentral:rRNA from 1 species